UAGAUGGGAUUUACAUCUGAAAAACCAAGUGAGAAACUGAAGACCAGAGAGGGUGAGUGGUUUACUCAGUUUGGCACAACUGACCCCAACCUAGCCCUCCAUGAGGACUGAGCGCAUGAGAGAUCCUGAGCCACAGCCGCCCAGCCCUGCUCCUCUCGAAUUUCUGACCUACAGGAACUGCAAGAAGUAAUGAAAGACUGCUGUUUAAAGCCACUGCAUUUUGGCAUGAUUUGUUAUGCAGUCGUAGAUAACCAGAAAACAUCGGAUUUACAUUUUAAGGAAACAGAGAAGCAAAGAAGUUAGCAAGCUUGUUUUGGCAGAAGAAAAAACACAAAAUACCCAACCACAGAUCCUC
rnacentral:lncRNA from 10 species